rnacentral:misc_RNA from 1 species
GAUGAAGAACGUAGCGAAAUGCGACAAGUAAUGUGAAUUGCAGAAUUCAGUGAAUCAUCGAAUCUUUGAACGCACAUUGCGCCCGCCAGUAUUCUGGCGGGCAUGCCUGUCCGAGCGUCAUUUCAACCCUCGAACCCCUCCGGGGGGUCGGCGUUGGGGAUCGGCCCUUUACGGGGCCGGCCCCGAAAUACAGUGGCGGUCUCGCCGCAGCCUCUCCUGCGCAGUAGUUUGCACACUCGCAUCGGGAGCGCGGCGCGUCCACAGCCGUUAAACACCCCAAACUUCUGAAAUGUUGACCUCGGAUCAGGUAGGAAUACCCGCUGAACUUAAGCAUAUCAAUAAGCGGAGGA